CUGCAAUGAUGUUUUUGAAUUUUACCUGAAGAUCAAUAUGUAGAUCAAACAAAUGAGCUUUUUAACACUGAGCGGC